UAUUUCUCAGUAUUCAUUUACCACUUCAUUUUGCGGAACUUUAUCUCCUGAAUCUUACUUUAUGUAUCCCAUUCAUAAUAUAAUCGACGGACAAUUGUAUGCAUCUCUCCAAAUGGACUACAAAGGCAUAAUGCUCCUGUAUCAUCUUCAAACAUACUUCCGGGUCUGCAUAUUUUUCGAGCCUCCGGCUUGGUUCUCACUCUGGCAUUCACAACUAGAAAGGAAAAUAUAGUUAUCAGUGGCCAAACUUUCCACCUAAGAGCCUAUAAAUAGGAGUAAAAUUUGAAAAAAAUCAUAUAUGGUCAGUAUUAUUUAAAUUAUACUUUAGCAGGUAUUGAUAUUUUUAAAAACAAGUCCUUCUUAUAAAGAAAUGAUAAAACUUUUUUUGGUCAUGGUGGAUUAUGUUUUACAAAGUGUUAGAGAAUUUAUUGAUUUUUCCCUAUGUAACUAUAAGGAAAAUGUUGAAUUUCCUUUAAAAACACGAUGUGAAGUUCUGAUUUUGUAAUUUUGUAUUCCAACUCAAACGAAAAUCAAAUUAAGGAAACCCGUCAGAAAAUGUAUCUGAAAAUAUUCAUCUGACUGACAUAUUGUGGAAUUUUUUCCAUUAUUACUAAGUACAUGUAUGGAACGGUUAGUGAGACUUCAUUUUAUCAGAUUCUUCGUUAAAUUUUAGAUGGAUUCAAUGAAUAAUAAUUUAAAAAGCACUAAAAAUAUCAUAUAAUAUUCCAAUAUCGAUAUUGGUAUUUUCUGACUGAUGAACAAUUGAAAUACAAUGUGAUGAUAAAGGAUUAUUCUUUAAAAAAUAGUUUUGUCAAUCAAUAUUUGCUUUUCCAAUAUCACAUUCGUCCUCUCCAGUCGCUACCAAACAUAUUUCACAAGUAAAUAUUUUUACGAAGAUUUGCAUGUGCGUUUUUAUUUACCAUAUUGUUAUUAUUUGUAAUAACUUACCAACAACGGCGAAAAUGAAGAUUAGCAACUUCCAAAAUAUGUCCAUGGUCUUUCAAUAUUUUGUGACUUGUGAUCAACUCCUCGUGAAGGGGCCAAGUGGUACCGAGAAUAUAUGAUUUUUGAUUGACUUUGAAUAAUUCGCACUUGAUUAAACUUAUCAUU